rnacentral:rRNA from 1 species
GAUGAACGCUGGCGGCGUGCUUAACACAUGCAAGUCGAGCGAGUGAGUUCUUCGGAACGAUCUAGCGGCGGACGGGUGAGUAACACGUGGGCAACCUGCCUCAUAGAGGGGAAUAGCCUCCCGAAAGGGAGAUUAAUACCGCAUAAAAUUAUCGAGUGGCAUCACAUGAUAAUCAAAGGAGUAAUCCGCUAUGAGAUGGGCCCGCGGCGCAUUAGCUAGUUGGUGAGGUAACGGCUCACCAAGGCAACGAUGCGUAGCCGACAUGAGAGGGUGAUCGGCCACAUUGGGACUGAGACACGGCCCAGACUCCUACGGGAGGCAGCAGUGGGGAAUAUUGCACAAUGGGGGAAACCCUGAUGCAGCAACGCCGCGUGAGUGAUGAAGGUCUUCGGAUUGUAAAGCUCUGUCUUUGGGGACGAUAAUGACGGUACCCAAGGAGGAAGCCACGGCUAACUACGUGCCAGCCGCCGCUGUAA